GACGAGGGGUGCGAACGUUAUUCGGAAUGAUUGGGCGUAAAGGGUGCGCAGGCGGUAUGUUAAGUCAACUGUUAAAUUCCCCAGCUUAACUGGGGCCAUGCGGUAGAAACUGACAUACUAGAGGGUGGAAGAGAGAAGUGGAAUUCUCGGAGUAGCGGUAAAAUGCGUAGAUCUCGAGAGGAACACCGAUGGCGAAGGCAGCUUCUUGGUCCAUUUCUGACGCUCAUGCACGAAAGCGUGGGGAGCAAACAGG
rnacentral:rRNA from 1 species